GGUGAGAAUCCCGUCUGUGACCGGUGACCGAUCCCAUGCGAAACCCUUUCGACGAGUCGAGUUGUUUGGGAAUGCAGCUCAAAAUGGGUGGUAAAUUUCAUCUAAAGCUAAAUACUGGCUGGAGACCGAUAGCGCACAAGUAGAGUGAUCGAAAGAUGAAAAGCACUUUGGAAAGAGAGUCAAAAAGUACGUGAAAUUGUUGAAAGGGAAGCGCUUGCAACCAGACCUGUCCGUGGGUGAUCAGCCGCCGUUCUCGGUGGUGCACUCGCCUACGAUCAGGCCAGCAUCGGUUCGGGCGGCCGGACAAAGGCCUUGGGAAUGUAGCUCCUCUCGGGGAGUCUUAUAGCCCUCGGUGCCAUGUGGCCAGCCCGGACCGAGGACCGCGCUUCGGCUAGGAUGCUGGCGUAAUGGUUGUAAGCGACCCGUCUUGAAACACGGACCAAGGAGUCUAACAUCUAUGCGAGUGUUUGGGUGUUAAACCCAUACGCGGAAUGAAAGUGAACGGAGGUGAGAACCCUUUAGGGCGCAUCAUCGACCGAUCCAGAUGUCUUCGGAUGGAUUUGAGUAUGAGCAUAGCUGUUGGGACCCGAAAGAUGGUGAACUAUGCCUGAAUAGGGUGAAGCCAGAGGAAACUCUGGUGGAGGCUCGCAGCGGU
rnacentral:rRNA from 1 species